UACGGAGGGUGCAAGCGUUAUCCGGAUUUACUGGGUUUAAAGGGUGUGUAGGCGGACUUUUAAGUCAGCGGUGAAAUCUCCGGGCUCAACCCGGAAACUGCCAUUGAUACUAUUCGACUAGAGGGUUGGAGGGGGGACUGGAAUACUUGGUGUAGCAGUGAAAUGCGUAGAUAUCAAGUGGAACACCAGUGGCGAAGGCGAGUCCCUGGACAACUCCUGACACUGAGGCACGAAAGCUAGGGGAGCAAACAGG
rnacentral:rRNA from 1 species